rnacentral:rRNA from 1 species
CCUACGGGAGGCAGCAGUAGGGAAUAUUGCUCAAUGGGGGAAACCCUGAAGCAGCAAAGCCGCGUGGCGGAUGAAGGUUUUCGGAUUGUACACUCCUUUUGUUAGAGAAGAUAAUAACGGUAUCUCACGAAUAAGCACCGGCUAAUUCCGGGCCAGCAGCCGAGGUAAUACGGAGGGUGCAAGCGUUACUCGGAGUCACUGGGCGUAAAGAGCGAGUAGGCGGGAUAGCAAGGCAGAUGUGAAAUACUAUGGCGUAACCAUAGAACUGCAUUUGAAACUGUUAUUCUAGAGUAUGGGAGAGGUAGGUGGAAUUCUUGGUGUAGGGGUAAAAUCCGUAGAGAUCAAGAGGAAUACUCAUUGCGAAGGCGACCUGCUAGAACAUAACUGACGCUGAUGCGCGAAAGCGUGGGGAGCAAACAGGAUUAGAUACCCUUGUAGUC